rnacentral:rRNA from 1 species
GUGUCAGCAGCCGCGGUAAAACGUAGGAGGCGAGCGUUAUCCGGAUUUACUGGGCGUAAAGCGCACGCAGGCGGCUUCGUGAGUCGGAUGUGAAAGCUCCUGGCUUAACUGGGAGAGGCCAUUCGAUACUGCGGGGCUUGAGGUUGGGAGAGGGGUGUGGAAUUCCCGGUGUAGUGGUGGAAUGCGUAGAUAUCGGGAGGAACACCAGUGGCGAAAGCGGCACCCUGGCCCACACCUGACGCUGAGGUGCGAAAGCGUGGGUAGCAAACAGGAUUAGAUACCCCCGUAGUCC